rnacentral:piRNA from 1 species
UCACAGCCACAUGUUGACUCAAGACCCAGAG